rnacentral:lncRNA from 1 species
AUAAGAAAUUUAUUAUUAAAAAAUACUAAUAUUUACAGGAAAUUGCACUUACCCGUUUCGCUUUCUAAUAAAGUCAAUAGAGCAUCUGCCGCAAGAGUAGAACUCUUGUGAUAUAGUAAACAGCAAAGUGUGGGUGGGAGCGCAAAAUGACAGCAAGACUAGCUGAUAUACAUAUAAACUGAUUAACCGAAGAGAAGGAAAGAAAUAUGUACAGCGAUAGGCCACAGAUCGGAUCUAUGAACUUGGGGUUACUGUAUACUCCUCAUCUCAGUCUAGAGAAUGGGUUCUUGGUGAACCAGGCGGAGGGCUGCCGUUUACGACUGUCUCCUGCAUACUAGCACUAACCACGUAAACACACAUAAAGUAUGUAGAUUUAUUUUCGACACAGAUUAUGUCGACCUCUGACGCUUGUGCACAAGAUUGCUCAACAUCCGUGUCUGCAUUUUGAAGUCACAGAUUUCCUUUCUGUCCAAAUCCGCAUCCGACAUGAGCUGAGGGGUGGUAAAACCAGAGAGCUUAAAACUACAGUAACUCAAGGGAAACUACUUCACAUAAUUUUUCGUCUGUUGGUUCCCUUGUACACGUACGCUCGUUUUUCUAGAAUGGGGAAGGAGAGAAUUAUUGACAUGUCGCUUAACAUUGGUCGGUUGUUUGAGCUUCCAUCUAGAGGUGAUUUCGCAUCAGGAAGAGAGAGGGAAUGGUAGUACCCGGAGAAAAACUCCGACGGCCAGCCCUGCGAACAGGUGUCACGUACAGAUAGUCCCGAGACGAAAUGGUGGUGACCAGCGAGACUGCAGUACCGGAUCGACAUCCCUUUUUAUUAGCACGACGCAGCUUCGGAGUUAAAUUGUUGAGAAGAUCACAUAAUUGUUUACCGUGUUUUGAUUCUAUCUCUCUCACACGCAUACGUCUAAGGGCGAGAACAUAUUUACUGGCACUCCCAUCUGUUUUCUAACGCCCAGUAACGUUGAUUUUUUUUUCUCUCUCUCUCUCUACGUGGUGUGCUAUCACUUGUGGCACACGGCAGACCGGCAAAAGUUUGGGUGACAGCUGGGUCCGUGACACAGAGGAGACACACAUACUUGAGGAAUACAGCCGGUAUAGCCUAUAAAGUUUGUUGUUUUUAACACGUCUUUAUAUAAGUAGAAAGACGUUUUAAGUGUGGCUGUCUUCAACUAUGCAAAGACACGCACGUAUUUGCAUAGAGAAACACAGCUCUUCUCUAUCUCCAUCCCUUCCCACUAUAUAUUCCAUUAUGCUACAUCAGAAGGCUGAUUUUUUCAUAGUGAUAAUGGCACAUUAUAGGUUAAUUAAUUGUGGGAGCGAAGCACAGACAGAGAGAAAACGAAGUAUGGCCUCAGCAAUGCGGAAGUUGACCACAACUCACACAGUCUUAAACAUUAAAUGUUACAGUUAAAACCAGAUAUACCUGUUUGCACGUAAAAUUCCAACUUGAAAUUCGCAAAAGCAUUAAAUCUAGGGCUGUCUGUAACAUGACUGCUAGUCUUGCUUAGGAUAGUCAAUAAACAAUUGCUUAAAUAUUCAGAGAAAUUCGUCAACAUUUUUCACUCGGGUUUUCCCAAACGUAUCAAGAGCUCUACACGUACAGAGCUUCACACAACCUGCAGUCUGCUUUCCCGCUAUCACGAAGCUUAACAGAAGCUUUAAUUGCGUGAAAGUCUGUUAUGGUUAUACAAGUUCGUGGUUAGGGUUAAAUCACUUUCGUCAGCACGAGGCUUUGCACAUAGAGGGGGUAUCUACCUGUCACCAUAGACCAUAUAGUUUGGGGUUUUUCGAACUGCAUGACAUUAAGUACUUUUUCAGCGUAAAAGUGUGCACCAUUUCAACAAGGCGAUUAUUUUUAAGCCCCAUAUUUCUGAUCCGCUUACAAGAACUACGUUUAUCAGGCUAUCAAAAAGCUUCAGUACAAAAUCUGGUGUUUAGUCCUGGAUUUUCCAGAGUUUCUAAAAUCUGAAGGAUCCUUCUUGUUGUGUCUUUAAAGUGAGACUGUACUGUUAACAUUAUCUGUUAGGUCAUCAAAUUAGUCAAAUACAGUGGUUGUUGGUGACGUUAGCGUUUGCAUGUUGAGAGAGAAACGCGUGUUUGGAAAACGACUGUUCACACACAAUUCAUCUUCUGACAACGUUUACUGACUUUACUGACGUCCUAGAGUUUGCAACUUUUCCUUUCUUUGGUUUCCCAUCCAUGACACACGCAUGUAUGACUGGGUCCCUGUACCGUGCAGACGAAACGGAUCCUGCUUGGUUAAAUACAAACGUCACCGUCUCACAAAAGCCAAACAAACUGUAGAUGUCAUUCAAAGCCACGAGUUGGCUAACGUGUCUCCGACCAGCAGCGAAGCGUCCCUCGGGCAACUUUAACUGUCAAUCAGAAAAUCGAGGGAAAGUUGCACACUCAAAAUAAUCUGGGAAGGGAACAUUUGCCGGCUCACGUUCAACUGUUGUCCACAAUCUGUAACCGUGACUUUAUGAUUGAGGACAGCUCAGUUGGGGAAUGCUGCUAUUCAGUUGGUUUCUAAUACCUACUGCAUAGUCAUAAACAGGCAUGAACAAAUAUUAACGAUUUUUAUUUACAAGCAUGUGCGAUAUACAUAUUGAGCUAAAAGGAAGAGAAAAUAAAUAUAACAAAUAGCAAUAAACGGCUGGGAACAACACUGCCCAAGCCCGUUGCGACUCACAUCAUCAAAAGCUGGUCAUGGCCGUAUAUGACACUACUUUCGUGUGAGUGUAAAUGACAUUUCGUCUUUAAGCAAUUUAGUCUUUUAGGGGAGAAAUCAGAUUUUAAUUUGAUAACCAAAACCUGGGCACUUACGAUUCAAAAAAGUGCCGUUAAAAUCAAAUGUGAAAAGUUUGGAUAGCAAUUUCUUAUGAACACCAAGGGCACAUUGAUCAAUACUGGGAUCAGAAUUCAAACUAGUGGUCCUAUAGUACAAUCUCUCUCUUUUUUUUUAAUUUAAACUUAAAACAAAUCAAAAAAAAUAUAAUACCCCCUCUAUGUGCAAAAAUGAUUGGAAUGACAAAAAUAGUGUUAAUGCUAGCUUUAUCCCUGAUACAGGUCAAACAUGAUGGGAAAAGUGAAUAAGACCCUAUGGCUGCUAAUGACAUAAUGAAUGUAGCCGAAGCAUCCAAAUUAGGUAGCUGUCUAUCAAUUAACAGUAAUAGACAUAUUCUGUAGAAAAAAAAAUUUUUUUACAAUCACAAAAUGCCAAAACCAGGAUAUCAUCAUCAGUUUUAAAGGACAAUAUGAGCGCUCAGCAAAAAUUGGUGGAAAUAAGAGCAUAAAGUAUCACAAAAGCAUAAUCUGGUAGUAUUUUGUGAUGAAGAGGCACGGAAAAUAAUAUAUUAAUGCUUUUCUCUUAAUCACACCUGGAUUUUUCAAGAAAACAGGAAGUGACAAAAGGGUAGUAUUUCUAAAAAUAGCAUCAUCUGCAUGAACUGAAUUCAAAGAGGAAAGAUGCAAUCUUCAGCGAAAAAAACAAAACAAAAAACAAACAGAUCAGGACACGAUGUGCUGUUGCUGAAUAUUCUCUUCGACAAUCUGAUGGACUUUCUUCGUACUCAAUUUGGAAAUCCUAGAGAUAAAUGGCUACAAAUGCCAGUGGAUUAGCUUUGUUCAAACAUGCCAUGCAAACUUCAUC